UCCAGACUCCUACGGGAGGCAGCAGUGGGGAAUAUUGCACAAUGGGGGAAACCCUGAUGCAGCGACGCCGCGUGAGUGAAGAAGUAUUUCGGUAUGUAAAGCUCUAUCAGCAGGGAAGAUAAUGACGGUACCUGACUAAGAAGCCCCGGCUAACUACGUGCCAGCAGCCGCGGUAAUACGUAGGGGGCAAGCGUUAUCCGGAUUUACUGGGUGUAAAGGGUGCGUAGGUGGCAGGGCAAGUCAGAUGUGAAAGCCCGGGGCUCAACCCCGGUACUGCAUUUGAAACUGUCCAGCUGGAGUGCAGGAGAGGUAAGCGGAAUUCCUAGUGUAGCGGUGAAAUGCGUAGAUAUUAGGAGGAACACCAGUGGCGAAGGCGGCUUACUGGACUGUAACUGACACUGAGGCACGAAAGCGUGGGGAGCAAACAGGAUUAGAUACCCCAGUAG
rnacentral:rRNA from 1 species